GACAGAGGGUGCAAACGUUAUUCGGAAUCGCUGGGCUUAAAGCGUGUGUAGGCGGAUCUGUAAGUACCUUGUGAAAUCCCACGGCUCAACCGUGGAACUGCUUGGUAUACUGCGGAUCUUGAGCCACCUAGGGGCGAGCGGAACAAGUGGUGGAGCGGUGAAAUGCGUAGAUAUCACUUGGAACGCCAAUGGUGAAAACAGCUCGCUGGGGGUGUGCUGACGCUGAGACACGAAAGCCAGGGGAGCAAACGGG
rnacentral:rRNA from 1 species